rfam:Triticum aestivum genome assembly, contig: Triticum_aestivum_CS42_TGACv1_scaffold_158104_2DL
AAUGUACUCCCUCCAUCUUAAAAUUCUUGUCUUAGAUUUGUCUAAAUACAGAUAUAUCUAGUUACGUUUUAGUGUUAGAUACAUCCGUAUGUAAAAAUCUAAGACAAGAAUUUUAGGACGAAGGGAGUAUCUA